rnacentral:rRNA from 1 species
CGUAGGGUGCGAGCGUUGUCCGGAAUUAUUGGGCGUAAAGAGCUUGUAGGCGGUCUGUCACGUCGGAAGUGAAACUCAGGGCUCAACCCUGAGCCUGCUUUCGAUACGGGCAGACUUGAGGAAUGUAGGGGAGAACGGAAUUCCUGGUGGAGCGGUGGAAUGCGCAGAUAUCAGGAGGAACACCAGUGGCGAAGGCGGUUCUCUGGGCAUUUCCUGACGCUGAGAAGCGAAAGCGUGGGGGAGCAAACAGGCUU